rnacentral:tRNA from 1 species
GCUUUGGUCGCCUAGCGGUAGGGCGCCGGCCUCGAGUCAGGCGUGACGUUUGAUGGAUAGCCGGUGUGGGUUACCACGCGGGGGUUCGAAUCCCUCCCAAAGCG